ACGAUCAGUAGCCGACCUGAGAGGGUGAUCGGCCACAUUGGAACUGAGACACGGUCCAAACUCCUACGGGAGGCAGCAGGGGGGAAUAUUGCACAAUGGGCGAAAGCCUGAUGCAGCAACGCCGCGUGAGUGAUGAAGGCCUUCGGGUCGUAAAACUCUGUCCUCAAGGAAGAUAAUGACGGUACUUGAGGAGGAAGCCCCGGCUAA
rnacentral:rRNA from 1 species